rnacentral:lncRNA from 1 species
UUGAUGAUUGUCGGCGUUCGACGAGGCAGAGGGAGGCCUAAGAAGUAUUGGGGAGAGAUGAUUAGGCAUGACAUGGCUAGAAUGCUGGUUUCCGAGGACAUGACCCUUGAUAGGAAAGUCUGGAGGUCUAGUAUCAGGGUUGUAGGAUAGGGGCUCCUAGAGUUUUUCGUACUUCUCGAUCCUUGAUAGGAAAGUCUGGAGGUCUAGUAUCAGGGUUGUAGGAUAGGGGCUCCUAGAGU